rnacentral:rRNA from 1 species
GUGGGGAAUUUUGGACAAUGGGCGAAAGCCUGAUCCAGCCAUGCCGCGUGCAGGAUGAAGGCCUUCGGGUUGUAAACUGCUUUUGUACGGAACGAAAAGACUCCUUCUAAUAAAGGGGGUCCAUGACGGUACCGUAAGAAUAAGCACCGACUAACUACGUGCCAGCAGCCGCGGUAAUACGUAGGGUGCAAGCGUUAAUCGGAAUUACUGGGCGUAAAGCGUGCGCAGGCGGUUAUAUAAGACAGAUGUGAAAUCCCCGGGCUCAACCUGGGAACUGCAUUUGUGACUGUAUAGCUAGAGUACGGUAGAGGGGGAUGGAAUUCCGCGUGUAGCAGUGAAAUGCGUAGAUAUGCGGAGGAACACCGAUGGCGAAGGCAAUCCCCUGGACCUGUACUGACGCUCAUGCACGAAAGCGUGGGGAGCAAACAGGAUUAGAUACCCGAGUAGUCC